rnacentral:rRNA from 1 species
GAUGAACGCUGGCGGCGUGCCUAAUACAUGCAAGUCGAGCGAACAGAUGAGGAGCUUGCUCCUCUGACGUUAGCGGCGGACGGGUGAGUAACACGUGGAUAACCUACCUAUAAGACUGGGAUAACUUCGGGAAACCGGAGCUAAUACCGGAUAAUAUAUUGAACCGCAUGGUUCAAUAGUGAAAGACGGUUUUGCUGUCACUUAUAGAUGGAUCCGCGCCGCAUUAGCUAGUUUGUAAGGUAACGGCUUACCAAGGCAACGAUGCGUAGCCGACCUGAGAGGGUGAUCGGCCACACUGGAACUGAGACACGGUCCAGACUCCUACGGGAGGCAGCAGUAGGGAAUCUUCCGCAAAGGGCGAAAGCCUGACGGAGCAACGCCGCGUGAGUGAUGAAGGUCUUCGGAUCGUAAAACUCUGUUAUUAGGGAAGAACAAAUGUGUAAGUAACUAUGCACGUCUUGACGGUACCUAAUCAGAAAGCCACGGCUAACUACGUG